rnacentral:rRNA from 1 species
UACGGAGGGUGCAAGCGUUAUCCGGAUUCACUGGGUUUAAAGGGUUCGUAGGCGGUUUGGUAAGUCCGUGGUGAAAUCCCCGAGCUUAACUCGGGAACUGCCGUGGAUACUAUCAAUCUUGAAUACUGUGGAGGUAAGCGGAAUAUGUCAUGUAGCGGUGAAAUGCUUAGAUAUGACAUAGAACACCGAUAGCGAAGGCAGCUUGCUAGACAGUUAUUGACACUGAGGCACGAAAGCGUGGGGAGCAAACAGG